rnacentral:rRNA from 1 species
UACGUAGGAGGCAAGCGUUGUCCGGAAUUACUGGGCGUAAAGGGCGCGUAGGUGGUGGCUUAAGCGUGCGGUGAAAGCUCGGAGCUCAACUCCGAGUCGGCCGUGCGAACUGGGCUCACUGGAGCAUAGUAGAGGCAGGUGGAAUUCCGGGUGUAGCGGUGGAAUGCGUAGAGAUCCGGAAGAACACCGGUGGCGAAGGCGGCCUGCUGGGCUAUGGCUGACACUGAGGCGCGACAGCGUGGGGAGCAAACAGG